rnacentral:rRNA from 1 species
ACGCUCGACACCUACGGAGGCAGCAGUGAGGGAUAUUGGUCAAUGGGGGAAACCCUGAACCAGCAACGCCGCGUGAGGGAUGACGGUCUUCGGAUUGUAAACCUCUGUCCUCUGUGAAGAUAAUGACGGUAGCAGAGGAGGAAGCUCCGGCUAACUACGUACCAGCAGCCGCGGUAAUCUGAGCGGGCUGGCAAGGC